CACGGAGUUAGCCGAUGCUUUUUCUUCAGGUACACUCAUCCGGGGACACGUCCCCGCCUUUGUUCCCUGACAAAAGAGGUUUACGAUACUCUGUACCUUCAUCCCUCACGCGGCUUGGCUGGUUCAGUCUCCCGACCAUUGACCAAUAUUCCUCACUGCUGCCUCCCGUAGGAGUCUGGUCCGUGUCUCAGUACCAGUGGUGGGGGACCUUCCUCUCACGAACCCCUACGCAUCGUCGGUUAGGUGGGCCGUUACCCCGCCUACUGCCUAAUGCGCCGCAUGCCCAUCCCUGUCCGGCCGAAGCCUUUCCUGCCUCCGGGAUCGGCCCCGGUGGCAUGUACGCGGGUUUACGCCCGUCCGUUUCCGGGCGGGUUUCGUCCCCCUGGACGAGGGGC
rnacentral:rRNA from 1 species